rnacentral:rRNA from 1 species
UAGAGUUUGAUCCUGGCUCAGAUUGAACGCUGGCGGCAUGCUUUACACAUGCAAGUCGAACGGCAGCGCGGGGCAACCUGGCGGCGAGUGGCGAACGGGUGAGUAAUACAUCGGAACGUACCCAGAAGUGGGGGAUAACGUAGCGAAAGUUACGCUAAUACCGCAUACGUUCUACGGAAGAAAGUGGGGGAUCUUCGGACCUCAUGCUUUUGGAGCGGCCGAUGUCUGAUUAGCUAGUUGGUGAGGUAAAGGCUCACCAAGGCGACGAUCAGUAGCUGGUCUGAGAGGACGACCAGCCACACUGGGACUGAGACACGGCCCAGACUCCUACGGGAGGCAGCAGUGGGGAAUUUUGGACAAUGGGCGCAAGCCUGAUCCAGCAAUGCCGCGUGAGUGAAGAAGGCCUUCGGGUUGUAAAGCUCUUUUGUCAGGGAAGAAACGGCUGGGGCUAAUAUCCUCGGCUAAUGACGGUACCUGAAGAAUAAGCACCGGCUAACUACGUGCCAGCAGCCGCGGUAAUACGUAGGGUGCAAGCGUUAAUCGGAAUUACUGGGCGUAAAGCGUGCGCAGGCGGUUUUGUAAGUCUGACGUGAAAUCCCCGGGCUCAACCUGG